rnacentral:misc_RNA from 1 species
AACGCACAUUGCGCCCUUUGGCAUUCCGAAGGGCAUACCUGUUCGAGCGUCAUUUCAACCGUCAAGCCUGGCUUGGUGUUGGGCGUUUUGUCCCGCUCUAUGCGCGGACUCGCCUUAAAAGAAUCGGCGUCUGCAUGUGGGCCUGAUGCGUAGUAAAAUUCGCAGACCAGGCUGGCGUGCCGGCGGCCGGAACCCACAUAUAUCUUUUUGUUUGACCUCGGAUCAGGUAGGGAUACCCGCUGAACUUAA